CAGAUGUUAAAGUGUGUUGGUGGGGGGUGUCUCCCCUAAUGCUAUGUCUGCAAAGUCCAAAAUAGCAAUGUGCCAAGAAAUCUCUCUCCAACCCAGUUAUUUCAAGAGGAAACCUGGUGGAGUGGAUGGAAUAGUGGGGUAAGAAUCAAAAGAAUUGGUUUCUCUGUCCAGAUCUGCCACUGCCUACCUGGGUAAUCACAGUCAAGUCACAUCGUCUCUUUGAAUCUUGGAUUAUGGAGCCGGUAAAAUGGGAGUGAAAACACCCUCUUUGGCUACAUGGUCUAAACCACAGUCAUGGACCCUGUGAGGUAUAAUCACGAUGAAGGGGAGUUCAGAGCUCACCAGGAUCCCUGGCCUCACAUCCCCUCUAGUCAGCAAUAGGCUCUCUAGUGAAUCGAAUGUGCAACCGGGGUUGAGAACUUCUGAUCUAGAGGGAAAGCAGGUUGUUAAGAGAUCUAACUUGGAAUCCCAGCUCUGCCCUUAACUUACAUCUCAUAAAAUUGCUCCAAAUAAGUUGCCUUCAGUUUGCUCUGUGGCCCUGACACCUUCUUAUAUUGCCAAAAUAGUCAAAAUGUGGGAAGACAACAGGUGAGAUGGGAAAAGAUCAGCUAUACCACAUAAUUGGCCCUGAAUAUGGUUUCGCUUUGUCCCCACCCAAAUCUCAUCUUGAAUUGUAGCUUCCAUAAUUCUCAUAUGUUGUGGGAGGGACCUAGUGGAAGAUAACUGA
rnacentral:lncRNA from 10 species